CAGCAGCCGCGGGAAUACGAAGGGUGCAAGCGUUACUCGGAAUUACUGGGCGUAAAGCGUGCGUAGGUGGUGGUUUAAGUCCGUUGUGAAAGCCCUGGGCUCAACCUGGGAAUUGCAGUGGAUACUGGGUCACUAGAGUGUGGUAGAGGAUAGUGGAAUUUCCGGUGUAGCAGUGAAAUGCGUAGAGAUCGGAAGGAACAUCUGUGGCGAAGGCGACUAUCUGGGCCAACACUGACACUGAGGCACGAAAGCGUGGGGAGCAAACAGGAUUAGAGACCCCCGUAGCCCCUGUCUCUUAUAC
rnacentral:rRNA from 1 species